GAUGAACGCUGGCGGCGUGCCUAAUACAUGCAAGUCGAGCGAACAGAUGAGGAGCUUGCUCCUCUGACGUUAGCGGCGGACGGGUGAGUAACACGUGGAUAACCUACCUAUAAGACUGGGAUAACUUCGGGAAACCGGAGCUAAUACCGGAUAAUAUAUUGAACCGCAUGGUUCAAUAGUGAAAGACGGUUUUGCUGUCACUUAUAGAUGGAUCCGCGCCGCAUUAGCUAGUUGGUAAGGUAACGGCUUACCAAGGCAACGAUGCGUAGCCGACCUGAGAGGGUGAUCGGCCACACUGGAACUGGGACACGGUCAAGACUCCUACGGGAGGCAGCAGUAGGGAAUCUUCCGCAAUGGGCGAAAGCCUGACGGAGCAACGCCGCGUGAGUGAUGAAGGUCUUCGGAUCGUAAAACUCUGUUAUUAGGGAAAAACAAAUGUGUAAGUAACUAUGCACGUCUUGACGGUACCUAAUCAGAAAGCCACGGCUAACUACGUG
rnacentral:rRNA from 1 species